UACGUAGGGGGCAAGCGUUGUCCGGAAUCAUUGGGCGUAAAGAGCGUGUAGGCGGCCAGAAAAGUCCGCUGUGAAAACUCGAGGCUCAACUUCGAGCUGUCGGUGGAAACUUUCUGGCUAGAGUCCGGAAGAGGAGAAUGGAAUUCCUGGUGUAGCGGUGAAAUGCGCAGAUAUCGGGAGGAACACCAAUGGCGAAGGCAGGUCUCUGGGCCGAUACUGACGCUGAGGAGCGAAAGCGUGGGGAGCGAACAGG
rnacentral:rRNA from 1 species